rnacentral:lncRNA from 1 species
GGGUUUGGUUCAAAAUGAUCACAUCUUUAAAAAAAAAGGUUUAAUAAGGUUCCAUAUUUCAUUAAAAAUGUUUGAUAUGGUCCUUUUCAUAGACGCCGUUAAAAUCAUAACGGUGCAUAUGCUAGUGUGGUGAAACCUCAAUGAGUUGUUUACUUGGAUGAUUACGUGGCUCUGUGAAGUGAAGUAAGUUGGCAAAAAUGUUUAAAGUCGAGGUUAUUAUGUGUAAUAAAAGGGGUGGG